GCAAACAUAGUUUAAUAAAAACGUUAGAUUGUGAGUCUAAAAUUAGGAGCUUAACCCUCCUUGCAUGCC
rnacentral:tRNA from 1 species